UGUGUGUGUGUGUGUGUGUGUGUUUACUCGCUAAUUCUCUUUCAGUGUGUGAGGGCAUGGGAACAGGGCAAUGGAAUCAAAUAGAGCAUGAGGGCUGACUUCCCGAGAGUGCAUCCACAUGAUUGACAGCUCAGACAUCCCCCAGCAGAAAUAACCCGAAAGGAAAACACAGGUUUACCUUAACCGCUGUUUAUCUGUUCAUGUCAAUUUCAUGUUAAUCCAGCUUCGCCUGGGGCGGCGCGCUGGUCGACUGGUGAGCACGUCCGCCUCACAGUGCAGAGGUGCAGGGUCGGACUGGCAAGAGAAAAUGCUCAAUCCCUUUUGAGGCUCCACUUAGUCCUCGACGCCUUCACGAGCAUCUGGUCCAUAGAACUGAGGCAACAGGCAGGUGCGUUGGGGUGGAAGAGCUCAGACAGUCAACGGUCGUGGAGGAGAGUAAAAUGGGCGUGUGUUACAAGGCUGCAGCGUUCAUCAUGGUCGAUGGGAAGCCAGACAAGAUCCAAACGUAUGAUCUGCCCUCUCCAUCCAGGUCCCAUAAUUCACCAUCGCGCCUGCCGUUUGCUGUCACCGCGCAAGGACCGCUGCCAGUUUGGGAUUGAAAUACGGCUGCUUAGGCGUCCCCGUGGCCCUCUACAAAACAAUGUUAGCCUGGAAAAAUGGCAGGCGUGGGCGCGGGGUUAAUACAGUAAGCCUCCGCUUUUAAUUG